UGUUAUGGCGGCUGUGCGCGGGACACCUUCGGGUGUGCCGGGUGCCUAACGUCCCGGUCGGCCAACCCGCGUACAGCUGCCACCCUC
rnacentral:antisense_RNA from 1 species